GACGAACGCUGGCGGCGUGCUUAACACAUGCAAGUCGAACGGAAAGGCCCCUUUGGGGGUACUCGAGUGGCGAACGGGUGAGUAACACGUGAGUGACCUGCCCUUGACUUCGGGAUAACUUCAGGAAACUGGGGCUAAUACCGGAUAGGAAUCCUUGCUGCAUGGUGGGGUUGGAAAGCUUCGGCGGUUUUGGAUGGACUCGCGGCUUAUCAGCUUGUUGGUGGGGUAGUGGCUUACCAAGGCUUUGACGGGUAGCCGGCCUGAGAGGGCGACCGGCCACAUUGGGACUGAGAUACGGCCCAGACUCCUACGGGAGGCAGCAGUGGGGAAUAUUGCACAAUGGGCGGAAGCCUGAUGCAGCAACGCCGCGUGCGGGAUGACGGCCUUCGGGUUGUAAACCGCUUUCAGCAGGGGCGAAGCUUGUGGUGACGGUACCUGCAGAAGAAGCACCGGCUAACUACGUG
rnacentral:rRNA from 1 species